rnacentral:lncRNA from 1 species
GGGCCAUCUCACCGGGCUGGGUGACGGCGGGCCUGGCGCACGAGCUGGCGCAGAGGGUGCGCGGCGGGCUGUUCUACACCGAGCAUCGGUACUACGGACAGACCAGACCCACCAAUGACACCAGUGCACCAGAGCUCCGUUACCUGAACGUGGACCAGGCCCUGGGCGAUCUAGCGCAGUUCAUCCAGUAUGUGAAGAGUGAUAGCUUCGAGGGUGGAAGGUUCAGGACCGGCUCGGUGGCGCUGGUGGGCUGCUCGUACGCCGGCAGCAUGGCGACGUGGAUGCGGCUCGCCUACCCGC